rnacentral:rRNA from 1 species
CAGGACGAACGCUGGCGGCGUGCCAAUACAUGCAAGUCGAGCGAAUGAUGAGGAGCUUGCUCCUUGAUUUAGCGGCGGACGGGUGAGUAACACGUGGGUAACCUACCCUAUAGACUGGGAUAACUUCGGGAACCGGAGCUAAUACCGGAUAAUACUUUUGAACUCAUGUUCGGAAGUUGAAAGAUGGUUUCGGCUAUCACUAUAGGAUGGACCCGCGGCGCAUUAGCUAGUUGGUGAGGUAACGGCUCACCAAGGCAACGAUGCGUAGCCGACCUGAGAGGGUGAUCGGCCACACUGGGACUGAGACACGGCCCAGACUCCUACGGGAGGCAGCAGUAGGGAAUCUUCCACAAUGGACGAAAGUCUGAUGGAGCAACGCCGCGUGAAGUGAAGAAGGAUUUCGGUUCGUAAAACUCUGUUGCAAGGGAAGAACAAGUAGCGUAGUAACUGGCGCUACCUUGACGGUACCUUGUUAGAAAGCCACGGCUAACUACGUGCCAGCAGCUGC